rnacentral:rRNA from 1 species
AUGCAUUUUCUUGACAGAGAUAAUCUUGAGAGAACUAUGAUGUUGUCAGACAUCACAUUUUACAAUCUAGUUGCACUGAUAGAGACUGAAGGAUAUGGGGUGAGGGAUUACAUGUACUAUGUGAAGGAUCCUGGCCUAGGGAUAGAAGGAAUGCAAGAAAUAGAGGAUGAUGACAUGCUGGAGGAAAUUCUAGACCACAUAGUACAGCAGAAGCAGAAGAUUUUCAAUGUGACAGUUGUUAGGGCCAGUUCCCCCAAACCUGCACAUAUAAAUUGUAGUGCUAAUGUUAUUGAGCAACAGAUCCCUCUGCAGGAAAUUGGAGAGCCCCAACUGUAUCAGGUAGAUGAAGAAGGAGUGUUGUUCAAUGCACAUCCUAGUUCAGUUUCAAACACAGCAGCAGUAGUACCAGUAGAAGAACCAAGACCAAUACAGUUUCAAACACAACAGAGCACAAACAAUUCAUAUAGGGUCUUUUGA